rnacentral:rRNA from 1 species
UACGUAGGGGGCGAGCGUUGUCCGGAUUUAUUGGGCGUAAAGAGCUCGUAGGCGGUUCGAUAAGUCGGAUGUGAAAUCUCCACGCUCAACGUGGAGGGGCCAUUUGAUACUGUCGUGACUCGAGUCCGGUAGGGGAGUGUGGAAUUCCCGGUGUAGCGGUGAAAUGCGCAGAGAUCGGGAGGAACACCCGUAGCGAAGGCGGCACUCUGGGCCGGUACUGACGCUGAGGAGCGAAAGCGUGGGGAGCAAACAGG